CUACGGGCGGCAGCAGUGGGGAAUAUUGGACAAUGGGGGAAACCCUGAUCCAGCAAUGCCGCGUGUGUGAAGAAGGCCUGCGGGUUGUAAAGCACUUUCGGUUGGGAGGACUGCUUCUAGCACUAAUAUUGUUGGAAGUUGACGUUACCUUCAGAAGAAGCACCGGCUAACUCCGUGCCAGCAGCCGCGGUAAUACGGAGGGGUGCAAGCGUUAAUCGGAAUUACUGGGCGUAAAGCGCGCGUAGGCGGCUAGAUCAGUCGGGUGUGAAAGCCCCGGGCUUAACCUGGGAACUGCAUCCGAUACUGUCUAGCUUGAGUACAGGAGAGGAGAGUGGAAUUCCACAUGUAGCGGUGAAAUGCGUAGAUAUGUGGAGGAACACCAAUGGCGAAGGCAGCUCUCUGGCCUGAUACUGACGCUGAGGUGCGAAAGCGUGGGGAGCAAACAGGAUUAGAUACCCCUGUAGUC
rnacentral:rRNA from 1 species